rnacentral:rRNA from 1 species
UACGUAGGUGGCAAGCGUUGUCCGGAAUUAUUGGGCGUAAAGCGCGCGCAGGUGGUUUCUUAAGUCUGAUGUGAAAGCCCACGGCUCAACCGUGGAGGGUCAUUGGAAACUGGGGAACUUGAGUGCAGAAGAGGAGAGUGGAAUUCCAAGUGUAGCGGUGAAAUGCGUAGAGAUUUGGAGGAACACCAGUGGCGAAGGCGACUUUCUGGUCUGUAACUGACACUGAGGCGCGAAAGCGUGGGGAGCGAACAGG